GCUCACUUUCAUUUUCUUUUGUUCUAAAUUUGUGUUCUUUAUUGGUAUCUCAACUUUUUCUUUGUCUAUGUUUGUUUGAGGUUCUGAUCGGGACCCAGAAGGCAAAAAGUUCUCUAACUUGGUUUCUACAAGGGAAUAAGUGUCUUCGAAAGGCUUCAAUUGGGGAGACACAGUGUCGUUACUGCGCGAAAGUGGAAGGAAAUUACAGUUAUGGAGUAGCCCAAGGUGCCUGAGAAUCUUUAUACUUGAUGUAACCUUCUAGAAUCUGGCAUCAAAUUCGUUGCACCCAAUUAGAAUUUUAGUCCAUUAAAGCAGAAAGAAGAUUGUAGUCUAUUAUCGGAACUAAUCAUAUAGUGGAAAUUCAAGUAUGACGAUUGGUUAUAAUCUUUCCGACUAUUUAUUAGCUUUUGAUACGCAUUAAAAUGGUGCCAUUUUU
rnacentral:lncRNA from 1 species